rnacentral:rRNA from 1 species
GUGGGGAAUAUUGGGCAAUGGGCGAAAGCCUGACCCAGCGACGCCGCGUGAGUGAAGAAGGUUUUCGGAUCGUAAAGCUCUUUCGUUAGGGACGAACGUGCUCUUUGUGAAUAAUGAGGAGUAAUGACGGUACCUAAAUAAGAAGCCACGGCUAACUACGUGCCAGCAGCCGCGGUAAUACGUAGGUGGCAAGCGUUGUCCGGAAUUAUUGGGCGUAAAGCGCGCGCAGGCGGGAUAUCAAGUCUGUCUUAAAAGUGCGAGGCUCAACCUCGUGAGGGGACAGAAACUGGUAUUCUUGAGUGUCGGAGAGGAAAGUGGAAUUCCAAGUGUAGUGGUGAAAUGCGUAGAGAUUUGGAAGAACACCAGUGGCGAAGGCGACUUUCUGGACGAUGUCUGACGCUGAGGCGCGAAAGCUAGGGGAGCGAACGGGAUUAGAUACCCGAGUAGUCC